AAGUCGUAACAAGGUUUCCGUAGGUGAACCUGCGGAAGGAUCAUUAUCAAUUUACAGCGGACUUCGGUCCUGUCUGCACCCUUGUCUUUUGCGUACUAUAUGUUUCCUCGGUAGGCUUGCCUGCCGAUAGGACACUUAUAAACUCUUUUGUAAUUGCAAUCAGCGUCAGAAAAACUAUAAUAGUUACAACUUUCAACAACGGAUCUCUUGGUUCUG
rnacentral:misc_RNA from 1 species